GGUUAAGUGACUAAGCGUACACGGUGGAUGCCUAGGCAGUCAGAGGCGAUGAAGGACGUGCUAAUCUGCGAAAAGCGCCGGUGAGCUGAUAUGAAGCGUUAUCAGCCGGCGAUGUCCGAAUGGGGAAACCCGGUGCAAUUCGUUGCAUCAUCGUUAAGUGAAUCCAUAGCUUAACGAAGCGAACCAGGGGAACUGAAACAUCUCAGUACCCUGAGGAAAAGAAAUCAACCGAGAUUCCCCCAGUAGCGGCGAGCGAACGGGGAACAGCCCAGAGCCAUCAUCAGCUUGCGCAUCAGGAGAACGGUCUGGAAAGUCCGGCGACAGAGGGUGAUAGCCCCGUAUCCGAAGGUGUGCUUGUUGUGAGCUCGAUGAGUAGGGCGGGACACGUGAUAUCCUGUCUGAAGAUGGGGGGACCAUCCUCCAAGGCUAAAUACUCCUGACUGACCGAUAGUGAACCAGUACCGUGAGGGAAAGGCGAAAAGAACCCCGGCGAGGGGAGUGAAAUAGAACCUGAAACCGUGUACGUACAAGCAGUGGGAGCAUCCUUCGGGGUGUGACUGCGUACCUUUUGUAUAAUGGGUCAGCGACUUAUAUUCUGUAGCAAGGUUAACCGCAUAGGGGAGCCGCAGGGAAACCGAGUCUUAACUGGGCGUCUAGUUGCAGGGUAUAGACCCGAAACCCGGUGAUCUAGCCAUGGGCAGGUUGAAGGUUGGGUAACACUAACUGGAGGACCGAACCGACUAAUGUUGAAAAAUUAGCGGAUGACUUGUGGCUGGGGGUGAAAGGCCAAUCAAACCGGGAGAUAGCUGGUUCUCCCCGAAAGCUAUUUAGGUAGCGCCUCGUGACGUCAUCUACGGGGGUAGAGCACUGUUUCGGCUAGGGGUCCAUCCCGGAUUACCAACCCGAUGCAAACUGCGAAUACCGUAGAAUGUAAUCACGGGAGACACACGGCGGGUGCUAACGUCCGUCGUGAAGAGGGAAACAACCCAGACCGCCAGCUAAGGUCCCAAAGUCAUGGUUAAGUGGGAAACGAUGUGGGAAGGCACAGACAGCCAGGAUGUUGGCUUAGAAGCAGCCAUCAUUUAAAGAAAGCGUAAUAGCUCACUGGUCGAGUCGGCCUGCGCGGAAGAUGUAACGGGGCUAAACCAUGCACCGAAGCUGCGGCAGCGACACGUAAGUGUUGUUGGGUAGGGGAGCGUUCUGUAAGCCUGCGAAGGUGGCCUGUGAGGGCUGCUGGAGGUAUCAGAAGUGCGAAUGCUGACAUAAGUAACGAUAAAGCGGGUGAAAAGCCCGCUCGCCGGAAGACCAAGGGUUCCUGUUCAACGUUAAUCGGAGCAGGGUGAGUCGACCCCUAAGGCGAGGCCGAAAGGCGUAGUCGAUGGGAAACAGGUUAAUAUUCCUGUACUGGGUGUGACUGCGAAGGGGGGACGGAGAAAGCUAGGUUCGCCGGGCGACGGUUGUCCCGGUUCAAGCGUGAAGGUGGAAUGAGCAGGCAAAUCCGCUCAUUCUCAACACUGAGGCGUGAUGACGAGCCACUACGGUGGUGAAGGAAUUGAUGCUACGCUUCCAGGAAAAGCCUCUAAGCUCCAGGUCACAUCGAAUCGUACCCCAAACCGACACAGGUGGUCAGGUAGAGAAUACCCAGGCGCUUGAGAGAACUCGGGUGAAGGAACUAGGCAAAAUGGUGCCGUAACUUCGGGAGAAGGCACGCUGGCAUGUAGGUGGAGGGCCUUGCGCCCCGAGCUGAAGCCAGUCGCAGAUACCAGCUGGCUGCAACUGUUUAUUAAAAACACAGCACUGUGCAAACACGAAAGUGGACGUAUACGGUGUGACGCCUGCCCGGUGCCGGAAGGUUAAUUGAUGGGGUUAUCGCUUGCGAGAAGCUCUUGAUCGAAGCCCCGGUAAACGGCGGCCGUAACUAUAACGGUCCUAAGGUAGCGAAAUUCCUUGUCGGGUAAGUUCCGACCUGCACGAAUGGCGUAAUGAUGGCCAGGCUGUCUCCACCCGAGACUCAGUGAAAUUGAACUCGCCGUGAAGAUGCGGUGUACCCGCGGCAAGACGGAAAGACCCCGUGAACCUUUACUAUAGCUUGACACUGAACAUUGAGCCUUGAUGUGUAGGAUAGGUGGGAGGCUUUGAAGUGUGGACGCCAGUCUGCAUGGAGCCAACCUUGAAAUACCACCCUUUAAUGUUUGAUGUUCUCACUCAGGCCCGUUAUCCGGGCCGAGGACAGUGUCUGGUGGGUAGUUUGACUGGGGCGGUCUCCUCCCAAAGUGUAACGGAGGAGCACGAAGGUUAGCUAAUCACGGUCGGACAUCGUGAGGUUAGUGCAAAGGCAUAAGCUAGCUUGACUGCGAGAGUGACGGCUCGAGCAGGUGCGAAAGCAGGUCUUAGUGAUCCGGUGGUUCUGAAUGGAAGGGCCAUCGCUCAACGGAUAAAAGGUACUCCGGGGAUAACAGGCUGAUACCGCCCAAGAGUUCAUAUCGACGGCGGUGUUUGGCACCUCGAUGUCGGCUCAUCACAUCCUGGGGCUGAAGUAGGUCCCAAGGGUAUGGCUGUUCGCCAUUUAAAGUGGUACGCGAGCUGGGUUUAGAACGUCGUGAGACAGUUCGGUCCCUAUCUGCCGUGGGCGCUGGAAGAUUGAGAGGGGCUGCUCCUAGUACGAGAGGACCGGAGUGGACGCACCACUGGUGUUCGGGUUGUCAUGCCAAUGGCAUUGCCCGGUAGCUACGUGCGGAAGAGAUAACCGCUGAAAGCAUCUAAGCGGGAAACUUGCCUCGAGAUGAGUCUUCCCUGAGGCCUAGAGCCUCCUGAAGGGACGUUAAAGACGAUGACGUUGAUAGGUCGGGUGUGUAAGCGCUGCGAGGCGUUGAGCUAACCGAUACUAAUGACCCGUGAGACUUAACCUU
rnacentral:rRNA from 1 species